UUGAUGAAUUAAUCCAAGAAAUUCACUAGUAAAGAUUCUGCAGAUAUACAUGUAGAUUGCAUUCAGAUUGUUGCUGUGAGAAUGAGAAAGAAACUGACAAGAAAACUCUGCUAAAAGCAGAUAGAUUAAGCUGGAUAUCGAUAAUAGCUACUGGCUAGUUAGCAUGCAACAUCAUGUUCUUGAAUUCUUGAAAAUCAAGAACUCCGUCCAAGUUUGUAUCGUACACAUGAAUCAUACUUCUACAAUCUUUUCCACUCGUCUCAUCCCACAAUCCCAGUCUUGCCAACACGCUUUGAAGUUCCUCGCAAGAAAUGAAGCCAUCCCCAUUAAGGUCGAACACGUUGAACGCUUUAGCGAGGUCCUGCUCUUCCUUCUCCUCCACUAUUUCAUUCUUGUCAUCGUUUUGCUUAGUUAUGGAAUCGUAAAAUAAUAAGAACUCAUCGAAGUUGAGGCUCGACUUUCCCACCGAAGACUCCAGCUCCUCCAGGCUGAAAUUGACCCCGAUUCUCUCCAGAAGCCAAUUAAGCUCAUCUAAACUCAAAAGACCAUCACCAUUUUUGUCAAGCUUCUGGAAAAUCCUGUGCAAAUCUUUGGCUUUGAGAGGACACAUAUUGCAGAGAAGUCACCAGAGAACACUAAUGAAUGAUUUGGCAAUUGGUAUAUACCAUUGACUAUAAG
rnacentral:misc_RNA from 1 species